UACGCAGGGGGCAAGCGUUGUCCGGAAUCAUUGGGCGUAAAGCGCGUGUAGGCGGUUCGGUAAGUCGGCUGUGAAAGUCCAGGGCUCAACCCUGGGAUGCCGGUCGAUACUGCCGGACUAGAGUUCGGAAGAGGCGAGUGGAAUUCCCGGUGUAGCGGUGAAAUGCGCAGAUAUCGGGAGGAACACCAAUGGCGAAGGCAGCUCGCUGGGACGUUACUGACGCUGAGACGCGAAAGCGUGGGGAGCAAACAGG
rnacentral:rRNA from 1 species